rnacentral:rRNA from 1 species
UACGGGGGGGGCAAGCGUUGUUCGGAAUUACUGGGCGUAAAGGGCUCGUAGGCGACCAACUAAGUCAGACGUGAAAUCCCCAGGCUCAACCUGGGAACUGCGUCUGAUACUGGUUGGCUUGAAUCCGGGAGAGGGAUGCAGAAUUCCAGGUGUAGCGGUGAAAUGCGUAGAUAUCUGGAGGAACACCGGUGGCGAAGGCGGCAUUCUGGACCGACAUUGACGCUGAGGAGCGAAAGCCAGGGGAGCAAACGGG